AGAGUUUGAUCCUGGCUCAGAACGAACGCUGGCGGCAGGCCUAACACAUGCAAGUCGAGCGCGCCUUCGGGUGAGCGGCGGACGGGUUAGUAACGCGUGGGAACGUGCCCUUCUCUACGGAAUAGCCUCUGGAAACGGAGAGUAAUACCGUAUACGCCCUUUGGGGGAAAGAUUUAUCGGAGAAGGAUCGGCCCGCGUUAGAUUAGGUAGUUGGUGGGGUAAUGGCCUACCAAGCCUACGAUCUAUAGCUGGUUUUAGAGGAUGAUCAGCAACACUGGGACUGAGACACGGCCCAGACUCCUACGGGAGGCAGCAGUGGGGAAUCUUAGACAAUGGGGGCAACCCUGAUCUAGCCAUGCCGCGUGAGUGAUGAAGGCCUUAGGGUCGUAAAGCUCUUUCGCCUGUGAUGAUAAUGACAGUAGCAGGUAAAGAAACCCCGGCUAACUCCGUGCCAGCAGCCGCGGUAAUACGGAGGGGGUUAGCGUUGUUCGGAAUUACUGGGCGUAAAGCGCGCGUAGGCGGAUUAGAAAGUUGGGGGUGAAAUCCCGGGGCUCAACCCCGGAACUGCCUCCAAAACUGCUAGUCUAGAGUUCGAGAGAGGUGAGUGGAAUUCCGAGUGUAGAGGUGAAAUUCGUAGAUAUUCGGAGGAACACCAGUGGCGAAGGCGGCUCACUGGCUCGAUACUGACGCUGAGGUGCGAAAGUGUGGGGAGCAAACAGGAUUAGAUACCCUGGUAGUCCACACCGUAAACGAUGAAUGCCAGUCGUCGGGGCGCUUGCGCUUCGGUGACACACCUAACGGAUUAAGCAUUCCGCCUGGGGAGUACGGUCGCAAGAUUAAAACUCAAAGGAAUUGACGG
rnacentral:rRNA from 1 species